UAGAGUUUUCAAAACUCCCAACCCAUGUUAACUUACCUAUGUUGCCUCGGCGGCAGCCUACCCUGUACCUACCCUGUAACGGGUUACCCGGGAGCGGCCCCGCCAGAGGACCGAAACUCUUCGUCAUCAGUGGCCUCUCUGAGUAACUUAUACAAUAAGUCA
rnacentral:misc_RNA from 1 species